AUUGCCUAUUGGCUACCUAAGAUCAAGGGUAGCAUUUGUUCUUAUCAACUUAAUAUCUGAUGCGAUUUCUAGCUGAAGACAAUAUACUAAGUAGACUUUUGGAGCAGGGAGAUAUAAUAAGAGCUUGUUCUGUUCACUCCAUGCAUCAACCUAAUAUUAUAGUACCUCCAGAAAUGGUGCAUCCCAG
ensembl:snRNA U2 U2 spliceosomal RNA